CAUUAAUGAGGACUCUCAGUUAAUGAAUUAAAGUCUCAUCAUCGACAUAAUCAAUUGUCAUUCUUUUCCUAUGCUGGUUUAAUUUAAGUUUUUUAAUAAAUUUAUAACUUGGUCACCUAUGGAGAUGUUGCUUACGGAAUUUUGUCUACCUAUGAAUCUAACAACUUCGAAUUUAAGGAAUGACUCUCCCUUAAUUAGAAUAUGGGAAUAAACCCAAGGAAAGACUCUCCCUUGUGUUUAAAGAAAUAAAUAAAAUUUUAAGGAAGUUAAGGGUUCUAAGGAGGACUCUUCUUUGGAUCCCGAUUAUAAAAAGCUUGACGUAAAAUUUUGAGGUUCGUGGAAGAACUCUCCCAUGAACGUAUAAUAUUGGAAUGCAUUUAGAAAGAUAUUAUAAAAAUUUUAAGGAAGGACUCUCCCUUGAACAUAAAGCAUAUACUUGGUAAAAUGCUUAAUUAAGGGUUAAGGAAAAACUUUCCCAGAACCUUAAAAGAAAAAUUGCUUGUUUCAUAAAUAUAAAAGGGGAGGGGUUCAAAGAAAGACUCUCUCCCGAACUCCAUAUCUUACGAAAUUGUUGAAAGGUUAAAGACUUCGUGAAAUAGAUUUGCCAAUUUUCAAGAUGACUAUCAUUUAGAGGAAGCAAGAAAAAUGUUAAAAGUAUCAAAGUAGCAAUUUCAUCAAACAGGGCAGCAUUGUUUCAAAACUCCUGUCAUUAUUUCCGAACUAUAAAAUGAUAGAAAUGCACUAUUUCUUAUUAUUACCUCUAAAUAUAAUUGUGAAUGACUACAUAUACAUUAUUUCCGAUCUCCCUUUAUACUAGAGAAAUAUAAAUGCCAUGAAGACCAUUUCUGAACUACCAGAUUUGCUAACACCACACAAUUUCCGAACUCAUCUCAUUGUACCCGAUCCCCUAUUAUUAUUUCUGAUCUCCUAUUAUUGUGUCCGAACUCUCUCCAUACUCCCAUUAUUAUAUCCGAACUCUUUAUUCCUAUUAGUUUAUCCGAACCAUAAUCAUUACUUCUAAACUACUUCAGAACAGGAAAUGUGAUACUUUUCAAUAUAAAACGAAGGCAAAAAUAAUAACGUUUCUACAGUACUGCAACAAAAUUAAAACAGUAAUAUUUGCAAGACACGCGUAGGUCGAUCUAAGCCUUAUUUCCCUAAAAGUUUAGUAUGACUAAGUAUUUAUAGAAUUCGG
rnacentral:misc_RNA from 1 species